rnacentral:misc_RNA from 1 species
ACCAUCACACUCAACCUAACACUAGAGCUCACUAAUCCACCAUGCAAAGCUCCGUGAAAAACCAAAAUAAAAGUCUACUUAUAUUCAUUUAUAGUUUAUCGUUUUCAACUUUGCAAACGAAAGCAAGAUUAAUACAAAUUAUUUGAAAACGUAAUGUUCAACUGAAUGGCUUUUUUGUUUUUUAAAAACAAUCCGAACAUACCCUAAAAUUUCAAUAAUUAUUGCACAACAUUAGUGGUAUAAUUAUGAUUCAUGACUGAAUCCUUUUUCAGCUAAGACAGCUUCCUUGAUGAGCUGAAAAGAAUUUAGAAAAUCAUCACAGAGCUGAUGAGGAUCAGGAACUAUGCUUUCGUCAACUGAUAGGAUUAUUUUCAUCUUCUUCACAUAACUCAUUAUAUGAAUCAUUAGUCCACAUUGUUGCCCAUAUAUAGUAGGAGCUAUGAAAGCCACUGGGUGGCCAUGGUAAGAGAUUUCUUCUUGAGGACCAGGCAUAUUUGAGAAGCCCAAUGUUGUCUGUGAAGGCAUGUUUGCAAUCUUAAGGGCAAUGAAUUUGGAACAAAACUUGGACAUGAAAUGUACGAAUUUAGCUUCAAAAGAAGCUUUCUUCCUCUCCACGGCAACCUUGGCUUCACGAACAUAUUCCAAUGGAUCAUCUCUUAGGGCAAUUUUGAAGGGGAAGAGAACAAGCCCUAUUUUAUUGCCCUUCGUAUUUCUGCUUAUUAUAUCAUCAGAUGCUUGGAUGCUCGAAGAUGAUCUUAUGUUAACAGCAAGAGUUGCUCGAAGACGAAUAUUUCUGGGUAGAUUAUUCUUUUCUUCUGUUGCUUCAUCACCUUUCUUAAUUUCACCAUACUUCCUGUUGAGAUAACGAGACAAACCAGCUUGUGUGACUCCCAUCAUCACAUCAUUGAUGGUAGCGUCUAUAGCAUUCUUCACCAGCUUUACAUCGUCCAGAGAGAUAGUUGUAUGAACAAACCUCCUAGGACCAGGAGUAGAUUCAAAUCCAAAUCGAAAUCCAGGACCUUUAAGAGGCGUUUUGGUGUCCUCCAAGAAGAAAACCGUAGCCAUAAACAUGGCAGCAUCAAUAAUGGUAUUCCAACAAAGCAACAUUAACCACCAUAGCUUGAGCAAGAAUUGCCAGAACCCACCAGAGUUAACAUUCUUGGGAUUCCUUUUCUUUAUAGUUGGAAUGGUUGGAAGUUCCUCAGCUUUGGAUACUUUGCGAGCACAAGAAAGUAACAUGGACAUAAGAGAGAUGCCAUCGCAGAGGGAAUGGUGGACACGGAGAAUGAUAGUGGAUUCAGCUUCUGAGGUUUUAAAGUUGAGGAGAUGGACAUCCCACAAAGGUAUGGACUUAUUGAUUGCGGUUUUGCUGAGGUUAGAGGCGUAAUCUUCUACAAACUUAUCAGGAGACUCCAUCUCCAUGCUUGGAUCAAGCAUCGGAACUAUUACAUGAUUGUCUAUGUUUACUUGUGUUCUAACCCAUCUCAUCUCUCCACCAUUUUUGUCAUCCACAACCAGUAAACUACUGAAAUGAGGAUGUUUAAGGAAAAUAUGAGCCAAGGUGGCUUUAAUAGCAUCUGGAUUAAUAGGGGUCUUAAACCCUACGAACACAAUGACGAAGAUACUCGAGUUCGGCUGGUGAAAAAUGCGAGACAUUGGACUCAAGAGUUGGCCUUCCUCGCCACCUUCUUCCUUUGUUACUCGAAUUGGCUUAAGACCUUCCAUGUGUAGGGUAAGAGAGAAGUGUGUC